CAUCAUCCUGCAGGCAACAUGCAGGGAAUGUGGACUUUUCUGUGCCUGAUGGCUGCUCCCCUAGGUGUGCUGUCUCUCACACUUCGUGAGUCAGGACGAAACCUGGUGAAGCCUGGAGAGACCCUGUCCCUCACCUGCACAGUCACAGGAGGUUCUGUAACCAGUAGCUAUGCUUGGAGUUGGAUCCGCCAGCCUCCAGGCAAAGCUCUACAGUGGAUGGGGUACUGGGCAGGAAGCACAGAGUACAGCCCAGCUUUCCAGGGCCGCAUCUCUAUCACUGCCGACACAGCCAAGAACCAGUUCUCCUUGCAGCUGAAGUCUGUGACCACCGAAGACACAGCCAUGUAUUACUGUGCAAGGCACAGUGAGAGAACCUCAGUGUGA